UACGUAGGUGGCAAGCGUUAUCCGGAAUUAUUGGGCGUAAAGCGCGCGUAGGCGGUUUCUUAAGUCUGAUGUGAAAGCCCACGGCUCAACCGUGGAGGGUCAUUGGAAACUGGGAAACUUGAGUGCAGAAGAGGAAAGUGGAAUUCCAUGUGUAGCGGUGAAAUGCGCAGAGAUAUGGAGGAACACCAGUGGCGAAGGCGACUUUCUGGUCUGUAACUGACGCUGAUGUGCGAAAGCGUGGGGAUCAAACAGGAUUAGAUAC
rnacentral:rRNA from 1 species